GACGAACGCUGGCGGCGUGCCUAAUACAUGCAAGUCGAACGGUGAAUCGCCUUCCUUUUUGGUGGGUGCGGAUGAGUGGCGAACGGGUGAGUAACACGUGAGUAACCUGCCCCCUCCUUCUGGAUAACCGCAUGAAAGUGUGGCUAAUACGGGAUAUUCUGGGUCUUUCGCAUGAUGGGUUAGGGAAGGAUAUUGUUUCGGUGGGGGAUGGGGUCGCGGCCUAGUAAGUUGUUGGUGUGGGGGUGGCCUAUGACGGCGGUGACGAGUAGCCGGCCUGGGCGGGUGGACGGUCACAGUAGGACUGAGACGCGCCGCAGACUCCUACGGGCAGCAGCAGUGAAUAAUAUAGCACGAUGGGAGGAAGGCUGGUGCAGCGACGCCGCGGUGGAGAUGGUGGCCUUCGGGUUGUGAACCUCUUUCGCAAGAGAAGCAAGCCUGCAUCGUUUGUGGAUGGGUUGACGGUAGCUAGAGAAGAAGCGCCGGCUAACUACGUG
rnacentral:rRNA from 1 species